GACGAACGCUGGCGGCGUGCCUAAUACAUGCAAGUAGAACGCUGAUGGAGGAGCUUGCUUCUCUGGAUGAGUUGCGAACGGGUGAGUAACGCGUAGGUAACCUGCCUGGUAGCGGGGGAUAACUAUUGGAAACGAUAGCUAAUACCGCAUAAGAGUAGAUGUUGCAUGACAUUUGCUUAAAAGGUGCAAUUGCAUCACUACCAGAUGGACCUGCGUUGUAUUAGCUAGUUGGUGGGGUAACGGCUCACCAAGGCGACGAUACAUAGCCGACCUGAGAGGGUGAUCGGCCACACUGGGACUGAGACACGGCCCAGACUCCUACGGGAGGCAGCAGUAGGGAAUCGUCGGCAAUGGACGGAAGUCUGACCGAGCAACGCCGCGUGAGUGAAGAAGGUUGUCGGAUCGUAAAGCUCUGUUGUAAGAGAAGAACGAGUGUGAGAGUGGAAAGUUCACACUGUGACGGUAGCUGACCAGAAAGGGACGGCUAACUACGUG
rnacentral:rRNA from 1 species